AAACAAUGAAAGCCACCUGCUUCCAAUAAGAUACAUACCAAAUCUUCAAGAAAAUGAGGGGGAAAGGAUGAUGAAGGUGGCUAACACAGGAGCUCCUGCCAGCUUGAACUCUCUGAGUUUUAUCAUUUACAGGAAAUUGGGACACAGAGAAAAACAGAGCAGAAUCUACCUAAGUUUUCAAUAGAACUACUCAAAGGGAGAAGAUACACCUUCACUCAUGGACUUCAAGGAAACUCCUGGAUUGUGGCAGUCCCACCAGACGAGAGAGAGAAUUGGGAUCUUUCCUGGUGCCUCAGAUGCUAAAGAAUGUGCCUGCAAUGCAGGAGACCCCAGUUCGAUCCCUGGGUUGAGAAGAUCCCCUGGAGAAGGGAAUGGCUACCCACUCCAACAUUCUUGCUUGGAGAAUUCCAUUAAGAGAGGAACCUGAAGAGCUACGUCCAUGGGUCUCAAGGAGUUGGACAUGACUGAAUGACUAACACACAGGAGUCCUGAAAAAUCUUAGCUUCCAGUUUGUGUCAACCUGAUACCUUGUACCUGUUGUUUUUAUGAGCCUAGAAUUCCUG
ensembl:lncRNA